CCUACGGGAGGCAGCAGUGAGGAAUAUUGGUCAAUGGACGAGAGUCUGAACCAGCCAAGUAGCGUGAAGGAUGACUGCCCUAUGGGUUGUAAACUUCUUUUAUAUGGGAAUAAAAUGUUCCACGUGUGGGCUUUUGUAUGUACCAUAUGAAUAAGGAUCGGCUAACUCCGUGCCAGCAGCCGCGGUAAUACGGAGGAUCCGAGCGUUAUCCGGAUUUAUUGGGUUUAAAGGGAGCGUAGGUGGAUUGUUAAGUCAGUUGUGAAAGUUUGCGGCUCAACCGUAAAAUUGCAGUUGAAACUGGCAGUCUUGAGUACAGUAGAGGUGGGCGGAAUUCGUGGUGUAGCGGUGAAAUGCUUAGAUAUCACGAAGAACUCCGAUUGCGAAGGCAGCUCACUGGACUGCAACUGACACUGAGGCUUGAAAGUGUGGGUAUCAAACAGGAUUAGAUACCCUAGUAGUC
rnacentral:rRNA from 1 species